UAAUGAUGAUGAUGAUGAUGAUGAUGAUGAUGAUGAUGAUGAUGAUGAAACUAAUACUAAUACUAAUGUGUAUAUCUCUCCAAACAUUCUUAACAGAUUACGUUAUCUUCAUUGUGUUCAACAGACUAAAUAGUAUUAGAACUGCAGCCAUCAUCAUCGUCAUCAUCAUCAUGAUCAUCAAUCAUC
rnacentral:pre_miRNA from 1 species